GCAUUAGUAGCUCAGCAUAAGAGCGCCGGCCUUGUAAGCCGGACGCCGGGGGUGAAAAUCCCCCCUACUGCU
rnacentral:tRNA from 1 species